rnacentral:rRNA from 1 species
GAUGAACGCUGGCGGCGUGCCUAACACAUGCAAGUCGAGCGAUCUUCUUCGGAAGAGAGCGGCGGACGGGUGAGUAACGCGUGGGUAACCUGCCUCAUACACAUGGAUAACAUACCGAAAGGUAUGCUAAUACAAGAUGAUAUAAGAGAUUCGCAUGGAUUUCUUAUCAAAGCUCCGGCGGUAUGAGAUGGACCGCGUCUGAUUAGCUAGUUGGUAAGGUAAUAGGGCUUACCAAGGCGACGAUCAGUAGCCGACCUGAGAGGGUGAUCGGCCACAUUGGAACUGAGACACGGUCCAAACUCUACGGAGGCAGCAGUGGGGAAUAUUGCACAAUGGGCGAAAGCCUGAUGCAGCAACGCGCGUGAGCGAUGAAGGCCUUCGGGUCGUAAA